rnacentral:rRNA from 1 species
GGUCUAGUGGCGCACGGGUGCGUAACGCGUGGGAAUCUGCUCUUAGGUACGGAAUAACUCAGAGAAAUUUGUGCUAAUACCGUAUGAUGUCGAAAGACCAAAGAUUUAUCGCCUAAGGAUGAGCCCGCGUAAGAUUAGCUUGUUGGUGAGGUAAAAGCUCACCAAGUCUACGAUCUAUAGCUGGUUUGAGAGGAUGAUCAGCAACACUGGGACUGAGACACGGCCCAGACUCC